UCCUAGUUUCCUAGGCAGUCCCAUCAGAGUGCUUCCUUGCGGAUUAGCAACUGACAGCGAGAGUUGCGCUCGUUAAAGGACUUAACCCAACACCUCACGGCACGAGCUGACGACAACCAUGCAGCAUCUGUGCACGCUCCCUUGCGGGUCCUCCCGCUUUCGCGGUCGUACCACGUGCAUGUCAAGCCCUGGUAAGGUUCUUCGCGUUGCGUCGAAUUAAGCCACAUGCUCCGCCGCUUGUGCGGGCCCCCGUCAAUUCCUUUGAGUUUCAGCCUUGCGGCCGUACUCCCCAGGCGGGGCACUUAUCGCGUUAGCUGCGGCACUGACGGGGUCGCUCCCCCCAGCACCUAGUGCCCAUCGUUUACGGCGUGGACUAC
rnacentral:misc_RNA from 1 species